rnacentral:rRNA from 1 species
GCUGGCGGCAGGCCUAACACAUGCAAGUCGAGCGCUCACUUCGGUGGGAGCGGCGGACGGGUUAGUAACGCGUGGGAAUAUGCCCGGUACUAAGGAAUAGCCUUUGGAAACGAAGAGUAAUACCUUAUACGCCCUUCGGGGGAAAGAUUUAUCGGUAUCGGAUUAGCCCGCGUAAGAUUAGAUAGUUGGUGGGGUAAUGGCCUACCAAGUCUACGAUCUUUAGCUGGUUUUAGAGGAUGAUCAGCAACACUGGGACUGAGACACGGCCCAGACUCCUACGGGAGGCAGCAGUGGGGAAUCUUAGACAAUGGGCGCAAGCCUGAUCUAGCCAUGCCGCGUGAGUGAAGAAGGCCUUAGGGUCGUAAAACUCUUUCGCCAGAGAUGAUAAUGACAGUAUCUGGUAAAGAAACCCCGGCUAACUCCGUGCCAGCAGCCGCGGUAAUACGGAGGGGGUUAGCGUUGUUCGGAAUUACUGGGCGUAAAGCGCACGUAGGCGGACUGGAAAGUUGGGGGUGAAAUCCCGGGGCUCAACCUCGGAACUGCCUCCAAAACUAUCAGUCUAGAGUUCGAGAGAGGUGAGUGGAAUUCCAAGUGUAGAGGUGAAAUUCGUAGAUAUUUGGAGGAACACCAGUGGCGAAGGCGGCUCACUGGCUCGAUACUGACGCUGAGGUGCGAAAGUGUGGGGAGCAAACAGGAUUAGAUACCCUGGUAGUCCACACCGUAAACGAUGAAUGCCAGUCGUCGGCAAGUAUACUUGUCGGUGACACACCUAACGGAUUAAGCAUUCCGCCUGGGGAGUACGGUCGCAAGAUUAAAACUCAAAGGAAUUGACGGG